GGAGAGGUGUCCGAGUGGCCGAAGGAGCACGCCUGGAAAGCGUGUAAACGGGAAACCGUUUCGAGGGUUCGAACCCCUCCCUCUCCG
rnacentral:tRNA from 1 species